GAUGAACGCUGGCGGCGUGCCUAAUACAUGCAAGUCGAGCGAACAGAUAAGGAGCUUGCUCCUUUGACGUUAGCGGCGGACGGGUGAGUAACACGUGGGUAACCUACCUAUAAGACUGGGAUAACUUCGGGAAACCGGAGCUAAUACCGGAUAACAUUUGGAACCGCAUGGUUCUAAAGUGAAAGAUGGUUUUGCUAUCACUUAUAGAUGGACCCGCGCCGUAUUAGCUAGUUGGUAAGGUAACGGCUUACCAAGGCGACGAUACGUAGCCGACGUGAGAGGGUGAUCGGCCACACUGGAACUGAGACGCGGUCCAGACUCCUACGGGAGGCAGCAGUAGGGAAUCUGCCGCAAUGGGCGAAAGCCUGACGGAGCAACGCCGCGUGAGUGAUGAAGGGUUUCGGCUCGUAAAACUCUGUUAUUAGGGAAGAACAAAUGUGUAAGUAACUGUGCACGUCUUGACGGUACCUAAUCAGAAAGCCACGGCUAACUACGUG
rnacentral:rRNA from 1 species